rnacentral:rRNA from 1 species
AGUGAACGCUGGCGGCAGGCCUAACACAUGCAAGUCGAGCGGCAGCGCGUCCGACCACCCUCGGGUGGUCGGAUGGCGGCGAGCGGCGGACGGGUGAGGAAUGCAUCGGAAUCUGCCUCGUUGUGGGGGAUAACGUAGGGAAACUUACGCUAAUACCGCAUACGACCUACGGGUGAAAGUGGGGGACCUUCGGGCCUCACGCGAUGAGAUGAGCCGAUGCCGGAUUAGCUAGUUGGCGGGGUAAAGGCCCACCAAGGCGACGAUCCGUAGCUGGUCUGAGAGGAUGAUCAGCCACACUGGAACUGAGACACGGUCCAGACUCCUACGGGAGGCAGCAGUGGGGGAAUAUUGGACAAUGGGGGCAACCCUGAUCCAGCCAUGCCGCGUGUGU